rnacentral:rRNA from 1 species
CCUACGGGAGACAGCAGUGAGGAAUAUUGGUCAAUGGGCUUACGCCUGAACCAGCCAAGUCGCGUGAGGGAAGACUGCCCUAUGGGUUGUAAACCUCUUUUGUUAGGGAGCAACGCCGGCUACGUGUAUCCGGCCUGAGAGUACCUGCAGAAAAAGCAUCGGCUAACUCCGUGCCAGCAGCCGCGGUAAUACGGAGGAUGCGAGCGUUAUCCGGAUUUAUUGGGUUUAAAGGGUGCGUAGGCGGCAUGCCAAGUCAGCGGUAAAAUCGCGGGGCUCAACCUCGCUCCGCCGUUGAAACUGGCGUUCUUGAGUGGGCGAGAAGUAUGCGGAAUGCGUGGUGUAGCGGUGAAAUGCAUAGAUAUCACGCAGAACUACGAUUGCGAAGGCAGCAUACCGGCGCACAACUGACGCUGAAGCACGAAAGCGUGGGUAUCGAACAGGAUUAGAUACCCGAGUAGUC